UACGGGAGGCAGCAGUGGGGGAAUAUUGCACAAUGGGCGCAAGCCUGAUGCAGCCAUGCCGCGUGUAUGAAAAAGGCCUUCGGGUUGUGAAGUACUUUCAGUCGUGAGGAAGGUGUUAAGGUUAAUAACCUUAGCAAUUGACGUUAGCGACAGAAGAAGCACCGGCUAACUCCGUGCCAGCAGCCGCGGUAAUACGGAGGGUGCGAGCGUUAAUCGGAAUUACUGGGCGUAAAGGGCACGCAGGCGGUUAAUUAAGUUGGAUGUGAAAUCCCCGGGCUUAACCUGGGAAUGGCAUUCAAGACUGGUUAGCUAGAGUCUUGUAGAGGGGGUAGGAAUUCCAUGUGUAGCGGUGAAAUGCGUAGAGAUGUGGAGGAAUACCGGUGGCGAAGGCGGCCCCUGGACAAAGGCUGACGCUCAUGUGCGAAAGCGUGGGGAGCAAACAGGGAUUAGAUACC
rnacentral:rRNA from 1 species